rnacentral:ncRNA from 1 species
AAAGAGGAUUCCGAAAAUCUUUAAGAGUAGGAU